GCAGCCGGCCGGACGAGGUCGAGGUGAGCGUGACCGUGCGCCGGUCGACGGCGCUGCUAGGCGGCACUGACGCAGCACAAGAAGACGUGGUCGACGGGGUGAUGUGGUUCCGACGACCGGCGGC
rnacentral:snoRNA from 1 species